rnacentral:lncRNA from 1 species
UUGCUUACUAUCAUGUCUUUUAAUGAAAAUUAUGAAUUUGCUUUUCCAAUUAUCCUUUCUUUAGUCUACAUUCCGAUAAAAAAUGAAAUUCAUAUCACCAUCAUGCUGCCUAUGUGUCUAUGUUUUCUCUGCUGAUAAGCUUUAAAUUAUUUAGUAGAUUUUCAUGAAAUUCUUUAAACAUGUUCGUCAUUAAUGCUCAUAUCACCAUCAUGCUGUCUAUAUGUUCCUGCUAAUAAGUUUUGAAGUAUUUAAUAGAUUUUCAUGAAUUCUGUAGGCAUGUUCUGACAUUAAAACUGGCCUUGAUGCCCCAUCUUUUCACUUAACAGUUUCAUACAUUUAAAAAUGGUGACCGUUCAACUUUUUUCAGGUUUCUCCUAAUCGAGAUGAUAUGGGCUAUCAAACAGUCUAACUUCGAGUCCUUAUUUUUAAUCGCUCAUUUUUUAAUCAUUUCAAAAUGGCAGACACAUUCAGAAAGCAAGCGAUUAGUGCUAGUCGUUUUUCGGCUAUUCUUUAUUAUCACAUCCUCUUUUAUUCGUAUCAUUAGGAUCGUCACAUCCUUAAUCCCGACCUAAUUUAAUAAUAGAUCAGUUACAUGCACAUCCUUAACAGAAACCACUAUUAAUGCUGAGCUUAAAAACAUAUAAAUUGCCUAAUUGCAUACAGUUCAAACUACAGUGAUAAUUAAUUUAAAUGAUGCAAUCUUUCUCGUUUCUCCAUUCCGCAUUUAAAGUUUUGAAUAGUUUUUAAAAUACUGUCUCGAAAUUAUUAUUUAAACGUGUCGCAGAUGUAGACGAUUCUUAUUUUCUCAUUACUCUUUUUUUUCCUUCUCUUUCUUCUUUUCUCUCUUUAUUUAAUGAGGAUACUUUAUGAGAAUUAAGUAAGCAAACAGAUCAAACAAUAAGCUAUUAAGAAAAGUAUCGCAAUUUACAAUAAUCAAAACAUUGAGUUCCGUGUAAACAAUUUCAUAAUUUUCGAUAUAAAAUUUUCGCUAACGAUGCCGUUUGUCACAGUUACGUUAAUUGUUUUAAAAUAUAUAUAUAAACGAGAAGAUUUCCGAACUUUCAAACGAGUUGUUUACAGUCUAGAAACAUUCCAAAAACCGUGUAUAGGAUGCUUGUGUCCAUUGUGGAAACUGUUCUACACCUACCUACAUUUUUUAACAGUAACUCAGUGCAGGCCUACUUCAUUGUAAUUAAUAGUACUCGAAAAAUAACAAAACUUAUUUUAAAAUAUCUACCAAGUAAACAAAAUUCUCUCUCUUUUUUUUUAAACUUAUACAAUUAUUUUUUAAUCGUUACCGGCCUCGAAUUAAUUAAAAAUUAAGUAGUUUUUUUUCUUCCAUUUCUUUUUUUAUGUUUGCGUUAAAAAACGAAAAAAAAAUGGUAGUUCUUUGCUUACACUCCGGAGAGGGCUUUAGGAAAUGAUGCCAAGUUUAAAACAAUGCACAACACUAUAGUUCGUUCAACUUAUAUGUAUAUAUAUAUAUAUAUAUAUGAAUUCUGAAAGGAAAUAAUAAUUUAUUGAUCCGGUC